GGCCCUAUCGUCUAACGGUUAGGACCGCAGGUUCUCAUCCUGUAAAUCGGGGUUCGAUUCCCCGUAGGGUCA
rnacentral:tRNA from 1 species